AACUACACGAUAUUCGUUCUUG
rnacentral:miRNA from 1 species